CAGAGCUGGGGCUCAAAGCCAACCGACUCCUCCCUGACCCCAUCCUCUAGCCGGCUUGAAUUGCUUUCAGUUCCUCAAACUGCUCUGCUCAGUCUCCUAAUUCCCUCUGCCUUCUGAGGCACAGGGAGGAUAAGUCACUUGGUCACAGCAAGUUAGAACCACUUGGACUCAAGAGGAGACCUCCAGGCUGGAAGCUCUUACACUUCACCCCUGUGACAGAAGAUCCUGUGAUGACAAAGCAGAACAGAAAGAAACUGGAAGAUGCUACUCUGCUCCCUUUGGAGAUGGAAGAGUCAUGAGCCAGGAGAUGCAGGAAAAGGGUUCUGUGAGGUGUAAGUGCAUCUGCAACAGUCGGAACAGUGUCUGGCAGAGGAAGGAUCGCCUCAGUUUCCCUAUUUGUAAAAUGGGGCUGAUAAUAAUAGCAUCAAGCUCCAAGUGUUCUUGAGAAGAUUAAAAAACUAACCCCCAGGGCUUCCCUGGUGGUUUAGUGGUGAAGAAUCU